GUCGUAAUAUGCAGGACGUUGAAUUAUUGCAAUGUAAACUCAGUACAAAAUCUACAAAUAAAACUAAAAUUAACUCUUGUAUUGAUAUCAAGUGCACUCCAUCUAGCAAAUGCCGGAAGACUCGUUAAAGGGGUUUCCAAAUUCCCAGUUCAACCUGGGCAGGGUGGUGAUAGAGCAGCAACCGGAUGCCAAAUAAAAGUACCGCUGACACCCGAGCGGCGAUACAUUCCGCAGACACUUCGCAGUUGGUCAUCAGCCACGGGGCGUAGUCGGAAAUGUACAUAGGCACGAGCUCACGGAAAGCCUUUAAAUGGAAUCCAAAAUAUUCCAGGGCCAUCCUUGUUAACGGCAAUGUUAUUAAUGAAUUUUUAAUAUCAUUUCCAUUGAGUCUGGCCUGGACGCACACAUUUGAUUGAAUUUUGCGGCAGCGAUAGGUUCAUUUUAAAUCGAAAUAUUAAGUUCAGUUAAUAGGGAAAUCGUUGAAGUCUUAAUUACAGGUUUCUUCAGUUUAGAUUAAUAAAGAAUUCCGAAAAUA